UGGGGGUGGAUGAUGGGAGGAAUCACUCAAUAAUUAUCCUGUUCUAUUGAUUCCCUCUGAAGCACCUGGCAUUGGUUAUCUUUGGGAGACAGGAUACUGGGCUAGAUGGACCAUUGGUCUGACCCUUUAUGGCUGUUCUUAUGUU